CAAUAGCGUAUAUUAAAGUUGUUGCAGUUAAAAAGCUCGUAGUUGGAUUUCUGGUGGGAGCGAUCGGUCUGGCGCUUAGCGCGAGUACUUGCAUCGUCUCCGGCCAUCCUUGGGGAGAGUCUGUCUGGCAUUAGGUUGUCGGGCAGAGGAUCCUCAUCGUUUACUGUGAAAAAAUUAGAGUGUUCAAAGCAGGCUUAUGCCGUUGAAUAUAUUAGCAUGGAAUAAUAAGAUAGGACCUUGGUACUAUUUUGUUGGUUUGCGCACCAAAGUAAUGAUUAAUAGGGACAGUUGGGGGUAUUCGUAUUCCGUUGUCAGAGGUGAAAUUCUUGGAUUUACGGAAGACGAACUACUGCGAAAGCAUUUACCAAGGAUGUUUUCAUUAA
rnacentral:rRNA from 1 species